CAAUCAAAAAUCGUAUUCUUUAGAUGAAUUUUUUUUUCUGUCUUUCAGAGCAUCUUCACAAGGCAAGAAUGGCAAAGUGCCUCUUACAAUUCCAACUUGUACAGAUGGCUACAGAAAGAAUUCACCUCCUGUACUGAAGCUAGCAGCUAAAACAGUGGCAACCCUGGAAGUCAGGACCCUCUUUUGGGUAAUCAGCAGAACACACACAACGCCAAAAUGACAGGAUUUGGAUUCCCAGCCAUGCUGGAUUUCAUGUCACUUACAAAGAUAAGUAGACAGCUCGAGGUCAUCAUGAGUGUGUUUCACUGGAAAAUAUUAAUCUUUUUUAUGGAUUCACAAUGACUUUAGAAAAUACCUUACACAGAAAGGCCAAUUUCACUCUGCUGAAUUAUUUUGUUAUCAGCAGUUUAGGAUUCACUGUGAGCCUUAAGGACAAGCCAAAAUUUAAUUGUACUACUUUUCAAUAACAAUAAUAAAAAACCAAGAUCCUGAGCCAAUUUAUUUACAAUCUAGACAAGACUGAAAAUAGCAAGGAAACACCAAAGAAAUAUUGAUAACAAUA